UACGAAGGGGCUAGCGUUGCUCGGAAUCACUGGGCGUAAAGCGCACGUAGGCGGAUCUUAAGUCGGUGGUGAAAUCCUGGAGCUCAACUCCAGAACUGCCUUCGAUACUGAGAGUCUUGAGUCCGGGAGAGGUGAGUGGAACUGCGAGUGUAGAGGUGAAAUUCGUAGAUAUUCGCAAGAACACCAGUGGCGAAGGCGGCUCACUGGCCCGGUACUGACGCUGAGGUGCGAAAGCGUGGGGAGCAAACAGGG
rnacentral:rRNA from 1 species